GGAUUGUGGCUCAGUGGGAGAACACUUGCCUAGCACGUGCAAGGCCCUGGGUUCAAUUCUCAGCACCA
rnacentral:tRNA from 1 species